UCAAACACGGGUGUCUUUUUAAGGGCUUUAAGUGGCAGGGAAUCCACAGCAUUUAGCGUUUGUAGUGAUUAAUUACCACUGCUAUUUAGAGUCACACCUACAUCUAAGUUUGAAUGUGCCUUUGAAGUUUGCAGUCAUUGGGUUUUGUUAGAACAUUUUUGUUUUAAUAUAAAAGCAUUUUGAUAACAAACCUCUUGCCACAUUGCUCGGUGUGCUUCAACACUGACAAGUGCCACAGGAGUGGAGAUGGCUUCCUACCACCUGAGAGUCACGGUGAAGAAAUUCUCACUCGAGGCUGCCAGCCAGAGACUAUGCUUUCCACCAGUGUUUCUUAUCUUGUGUGGCCCUACCAAAAUGCACAGUCCAAGCUACAGCAUGGUUCUGGGCUCUCUUCCCAAGCCUGUGAAUGUGAGAGAUGCUGGAGGUGUGAAGUGGGAAGUAGGAACCUGGGGUGCUGGAGUUCUGGCACUUCUGAUGAGGACAGCAGCUGAGGUCUAGGAAGAUUCAAAAACAGGAGAGAAAAAGAAAGAAGAAUCUGAUUAGAGCAACACUUGAAAACUAAAUAUAUGAUGGCUCUAGAGACAAAUAUACUGCAUUUCACAGGGGUCUCGAUCCCCAGACCUUGGCAGACAGGAAGAGGUUCCCUCAAGUCCCAUUGUGUUCUGUUCUUUUACCUAGUGUUAAGUGCAGCUCUCUUUAUUCUUCCAUUUAAUCUUUUGAACUUUCCAGGAAAAUGACAGGAUUUCUUA